ensembl:lncRNA
AUGCAGACCAAGACUGCAGACCAGAACAUGAUGACUUUCAGUCUUUCUAGUCUGGCUUCCUCAGACCAGGGCAGCUACACCUGUGAUUACUAUUACCAGGGGACACUCACUAUCAGCUCUUCCAAGAGCAAUGCGAUCACAAUUACAAUUGUGAGCCUACAUGUACCUCGUAUCAACUGCACUGCUCCAGAGGGAGGGCUGUCCUGGGGACCUUCAGGGCUGGAGAUAACUAAGGGCUACAGCUUCUCUAUCACCUGUUCCACUCAACCACAGUUCCCUGGUGGAGUUUUCCAUCUGAGUUUCUCUGGAUCCAACAGCACCAUGACUCAGCCUGCUACCAACCACUCAGCUUUCUUCUACUUUCCAGCAGCAGAUUAUUCCCACCAGGGUAACUACAGCUGUGUGUAUCAUGUGGAUUUACCAUCUCGGCACUUAUACUCCACGGAGACAGAGAAGCUAACUGUCACCAUAAGAGAAUUCAUGGUGCCUUUCAUUGCUGCUGGAGUGACAGGUGGUGUAGUAUUGCUACUGUUGUUUGGCUUGGUCUGCAUCUUUUGGGCUCGGAGGAAACAGACCAACAGAAGGCAGACAACUUGGAAGCACAUAAGAGGACAAUCUAAAUUGAACACACAUGGGAAGACCAGAUUAGAUCAGAAUGAACAGAAGAAAGGUGAGGACGAGGAUGGAGAGGAUAAUGCCAGAUUAGACCCAAGGGCAGAAGAGGAUGACUGUGAAGAUGAAGACCAGGAUGUAAAUGUAGAAAUGGAAGAUCAAGAUAACUGUGAAGAUGAAUACCAGGAUGAACAUGUAAAUGUAGAAAUAGAAGAUCAAGAUGACUGUGAAGAUGAAUACCAGGAUGAACAUGUAAAUGUAGAAAUAGAAGAUCAAGAUGACUGUGAAGAUGAAUACCAGGAUGAACAUGUAGAAAUGGAAGAUCAAGAUGACUGUGAAGAUGAAUACCAGGAUGAACAUGUAGAAAUGGAAGAUCAAGAUGACUGUGAAGAUGAAUACCAGGAUGAACAUGUAGAAAUGGAAGAUCAAGAUGACUGUGAAGAUGAAUACCAGGAUGACUAUGUAAAUGUAGAAAUAGAAGAUCAAGGUGACUAUGAAAAUGUAGAAGACUAAAUGGAGGAACUUGACGCAGGUAUAUUUAUAUAGAAUAUUUAUGGUAACUGUUAAUAUGAAACAAUAUUUGACUUAAACAUGGAUGAUGACCGAUGGGGGUUCUUACUGGUGGCUUCCUAGUGCCAAACACAAAAACAUUUUGCCUAUUAAAAAACAUAAUGCAAUUCAGAAAAGAAAUACGAAAAAAGAAGCAACAAUUUCGAAAACGACAGCUAUAUAAAUCAAAUGCAAGCAUUUUUAUUUUUAAUAUUUUCAGCUUAAAUUGUAAGCUUAAAUGAAUACUAAGACUCCUUGGAUAUUUCAAGUGUGUGGUUAGCAUAUGCAUUAAAGAAAUUAUAUACUUUUUUAUUUUACUUUUGUUAAGUUAUAGAGUUCUGGCUUGUGUGGAAUAUUUAUUUCUGUAAAUGUAUGUUGUGCAUCAAUACAUCUAACAUAUAUUCAUGGUCAUACAGUCUCUUUGCACCAGUGCUGCUUGAGUCUUUAUGUAGUAGGUGACUCCUUUUGUUAAAUGCUGUCUCAGCCAGUGUGGCUUUUCUUGAACUCACACAAUCCUGUAAUAAAACAUGCAUAAUAGAGUUAUUUACA